rnacentral:rRNA from 1 species
CCUACGGGUGGCAGCAGUGAGGAAUAUUGGUCAAUGGCCGCAAGUCUGAACCAGCCAAGCCGCGUGCAGGAAGACGGCUCUAUGAGUUGUAAACUGCUUUUGUACGAGGAUAAACGCAGAUACGCGUAUCUGUUUGAAAGUAUCUUACGAAUAAGCAUCGGCUAACUCCGUGCCAGCAGCCGCGGUAAUACGGAGGAUGCAAGCGUUAUCCGGAUUUAUUGGGUUUAAAGGGUGCGUAGGUGGUUGGAUAAGUUAGCGGUGAAAUCUUGUGGCUCAACUACGGAAUUGCCGUUGAGACUGGUUGGCUAGAGUGUAGUUGAGGUAGGCGGAAUGCAUGGUGUAGCGGUGAAAUGCAUAGAGAUCACACAGAACACCGAUUGCGAAGGCAGCUUACCAAGCUAUUUCUGACGUUGAGGCACGAAAGCGUGGGGAGCAAACAGGAUUAGAUACCCGAGUAGUC